rnacentral:rRNA from 1 species
CAAGUUGCGCCCCAAGCCAUUAGGCCGAGGGCACGUCUGCCUGGGUGUCACGCAUCGUUGCCCCCACCCAUCCCCUGCCCGCCGGGCAUCGGUUGGGGUGUGGGCGGAAAAUGGCCUCCCGUGCGCCCGCCGCCCGCGGUUGGCCUAAAAUCGAGUCAUCGGCGACCACGGUGCCGCGACGAUCGGUGGUGAAGCUUUCGAGCUGCCUCGUCCUCAGUCGUGCGCUACCGUCGAUCCGUGCUCCCCGACCCCUUCCGGCACCGCAAGCACGGUGCUCGCAUCGCGACCCCAGGUCAGGCGGGAUUACCCGCUGAGUUUA